CGUCGUUGUGUUGCCAAUCAACUGAUAAUUGUGUAUGCUACUAGUAUCCUCUCCAGUCGAAGCUGGCGAUCAGCAAGAUGUUUACAUUUGGCUUGAACACUCAGUCGUGGUACUUUCCAUCUCCUACAAACGAGCUUACAUAUGCGUGGACAUGAGUGGAGUUCGUGGUGCACCUUUUUGCUGCAAGUUCUAGUCAUAAAUAAAUAAAUAAAUAAAGGUUUGGACAAUGGUGUGCCCAUAUGCAUGCAUGAUACUAGUCCAUCCCAUUUUCUCAUGGUUUCCCCACUUAUCUAGAGUACUAGCUAGGCCACUUGCUGCGCCAGACGCCAUGUGAGAUCUUUCUCCAUCCCGUCUCGCAAUUCUAUUUUAUUUUUUGAUAGGAUCAUCCCGCCUCGCAAUUGGUUGGCAGUUCAAUGCACACAGCUCCACAAUCAGAAUGGGAGGUAUACUUCCAUGUUCUGGGUUUAUCCUUGUUGCAUCACACCAGCAACUAUGCUAUGCAUGUUGGACACUGUAUCCAAGGAUCCGGAUAUUCUGCAGGCACACUGUGCAUUGUCACCACAUAUAUAAUGGACUUGUAUUGUCUAAGAAAAAUAGGCAUGCAGACAUGUUAGGCAGGGAGAUCUUGCAGGAUGGAUAGUUUACCUGUGAACCAAAGUAGUACUGCAGCAAUUUUCAGCUACGAACCUCACCUUUUCUUUUCUGAAGAUAGACUAUUGUGGAAACCUCACCUUUUCUUUUCUGAAGAUAGANNN
rnacentral:lncRNA from 1 species